AGGUCCACCACUUGGAGGUUGCCGUCGCUAUUGUUCAUGAAGAGUGUUGAGUGAAAUUGGCGAGGCCAUGCAGGAUGCAGCUGAACUGGUAUUCGGUCUGCAGAUUUUGAUGCUACUGAAAAGACAUUGUCAGAGGAGAUUAAGAGAACAAGCAUUAGAGCGUAAGUACAUGGGUUUCAUUCUUUAGGACUCAUCCCAAUUGGUCAACGGCUUAAUGUUUUUAUCCUCAAAAAGUUUCCCCAUCAUCGAUUCAGGACAUCCGAGUAUUAGAAAUUCUACUUUCACCCAUCCUAAGAUUUACAAUCAUUUAUACUAUCGUCCAGUGGUAUUUUAUUUUCUUAUUUGGGCCCCGCCAGCUACUGUUUUCAUUUAGGAAUACCAGUGCCCAGCUUCCAAAAGCAAGUGCAAAACCUCUCAUGCUCUCACAAGACGAUGAAACCCAAAUGAAAAGAUUAAAGAAAGAGCAAUGCUGAAAACAUGCAAUUUCAAAAAUAAAACACAUUUCACAGAACAAUUUCUCACUCUAAGAUACAACUUGCAAAUGGUUCAUGAACCUAUAAGGAGAGGGCACUAAAUUUCUUGACUUCGUUACAGUAAGUAGCUCUUGUUCAAAUCACGCUAUGUAGAUUAUAUGACAAAAUAUAUUAUUCUUUUUCAUAUGUUGCAAGCCAAUAAAUCUUCCAGCUUAACAAUAGAACAGCUACUGAUUCCCAGCCACAGGGCUGCCGGGACUUUUCUUGAUAUCAUCCCACCCUCUUACCCAUGGCUGUCCAGCUAUAGCUCGUGUUUCAGGAGCAGCAUGGCUAUUAAGAUUGUUAAUGAUCUUAUCACGCACCGCAGAAAAGACCUACACCAACAAAUAUAAAGAUGCAGUGAGAAAGGGAAAUAGAUGUAUCACAAUGAACACCAAGUUGUGAAGCCAUCUUUUAUAUCAUAUCUCACAGGAUUUAUGCUCACAGCCUCUGGGGGUUGCUCCUGACCAGUUAACCACUUCCAAAGAUCUGGAUUUUCCUGCAGAACAGAAACCACAUAAUAAAUCAGGAAUAUAAAUAUAUUGAACAAAAAUCCUCAGCUCAAAACUAAAACAAUCACCAAUAGCAUGUGAGAAGUAAAAUGUCAAAGCAGAUGUUAAAAAUAUCUCAUUCAUUCAUCGUGACCUUAAUUUCAACCUGACACAGAGAAGUAAAAGGCACAGGAUAUUGAAUCAAAAAGCAGUGAACGUUGUACCAUGAGUUUCAGUUCAGCAAUGCAGAAUUCUGGUAAACAUGUGAUUAUCAUGCAAUCUUUGCAGCAUAUAACCCCCCUUAAAACUGGUCAAUCUCAAAAUGCUUGAAGUUCGACAACAGAACCCACUUUAAGAAAAUUUGAAGCAGCUAAUAUUUCACAAUCCAAACGCAUCCAUAAAUUUAAGAAAUACCCUUGAAUUUUAUGAGACAAAUAAAAUCAUACAAUAGUUGUCAGAAGCACAAUAACAAAAUGAAUAUCAAAUCUAUCAUUGACCAGAAAACUGUAACCAAGGACAAAUCAUUAGCUUAUAAACAAAAGCAAAUAAGAAACUUUACCAAGUCAAGGACAUUAACAAGUGCUUUAAUUCUACUUUCGUCCAUUGAGCAAAUAUGUUCUUCUACCCAUUUCCCCAGAACCAAAUCCAGCUCCAGGAACCCUCUUUGCCUGCUCCUAUACAACAGCCUGUUAAACAAACGCCUUUUGCUUUCUUCGUUGGAGAGAUCAACAUCUAACAAUCGCGUCUCAUUAUCAUUAAGAGUUGAAUAACGUGAAAACAAACCAUACUCAGACCUGAAAGAGGAUUCUCUGAUAAUGGGGGAAAAAGGAGUAAUCGAGGUCCGGCUGGCUGUGGUGGAUGAAUUGACAACACGAUAAGCGCUGAUAAGAGCUCUUCUCAAGUUCGUCAUUUUUCUUGAUCCGAGCUUUGGUUUCGAUGGGAGAGGAAACCUUAAUAGGCUGGAGAAGAAACGGGUGCCGUGGGCUUCAAUGGAAUUAAAAAGGCAGCAGCAGCAGUGCCUCGCUUGGGUCAUAACAUCGUGGCCCUAUUUGAUCCCCUAAGAAAUUAGGUCCGCUUCCGAUAU
rnacentral:misc_RNA from 1 species